UCAGGAUGCGGACGUGUCUGUGGCGUUACAGCGAUACGUAUGACUGAAACUCAGCGGCCCUCUUGAAAGUUGUGGUGGUUAAAUGAAAAAUUGUCCGUCUUCAUCCAAACUCUCGUGGCCUUUCUGGCCUCUCCAGCAGGGUGGAGUUUGUUCUCAUAGACACUGAUGGACGGUCUGUGUACUGGUGCAAUUGAGGCAGCUCACGUGACAACACCAGUGGAAAGUACAAUGGCAUCUUUCCGUCACCUGCUCGGUCCGAGUCUUGUAUCCUCGUCCGCAGCACAGCAGCUCGCACCCGUCCAGUGCCGGCGAUGAACUGUUGCAGGUGCGUCCCGAUGUGCCAUGUGUGCCUGUUUUCCCAUUGUAAGAACAGAAGUUGGGUGACUUUUCGAAAUAGACCAAGUCCCGAACAGACGGGAGCUUGUGUGCUGGAUUUUCCGGCUCCAGGUGUCGGGGGUCGGCUCGAUGAGAGGCACGGUUGCUGCCUUUGUUGGCGUACACAACUCGGGAUGCACCAUCGAAGCGGUCCUUCAGAAAGUCUCCCACCACACGGAAGCUUGGCAGCCUCAUCCAGCAGGUUCGAACCGUGCAGGACCCAGACAUGCCAUGACACUUGCAUUCCUGUUGCAUCUCUGAUGCGACUGUCUGUGGGGAGAGAAGGUUGGUCAGAUAACGGAGAUCUCGGCCCUUCUCACUGGAAUCCACAAACUCUCGUCCAAACAUCCUGCCAAAUUCCACAUUGUCGCUGCAGCCUCCCCAGUGCCAGUCUGGCCCUCCAGGACCCCGGCGCCGGUAGUCACAGGUGCAGGACUCAAUUGCCCCCUCGGAGCAGGACCGAGCCACAGCGUGAGUGACGCCGGCACUCGUGAUGGCAAACACAAACGCAGUCUCACGGCAACCUAGCAAAACAAUAAGCACAAUGUUUUUCUAUGUACUAACAUAUCAUCUUCAUCAUUAAGUUGGUUAGAACUUCCAUAAUGCCACCACUGGGAAAUGAGACCUACUCACCACGGUUGACAAUUUUGCCAAAGACAUUGGGGCUCUGGGUGGUGGGACAGUUCCAGCGUCGGUUACGAAACUGCCAUUUGCAUUCCUUGAUAGCUGUAUGCAGGCCUGCAGCAAUGGCGUGCAAGAUGCCAGGGUUUUGCCGGAUCAGUUUCCUCUGACGGCGGCUAAGCAGUGCCAGGCUGGGGUCCAGUACCAACUGCACAUUUUUGGAGUUGGUGAGGUGAUUGCCUGAGGAUGCCACAUUCACAAUGCCCCUGGUAGAGGAAAAAGUCAAAUAAAGAUCAGUUGGAAAUAUA